UACGUAGGUGGCAAGCGUUGUCCGGAUUUAUUGGGUUUAAAGGGUGCGUAGGCGGUCUUAUAAGUCAGUGGUGAAAUACGGCAGCUCAACUGUCGAGGUGCCAUUGAUACUGUAGGACUUGAGUACAGACGAGGUAGGCGGAAUUGACGGUGUAGCGGUGAAAUGCUUAGAUAUCGUCAAGAACACCGAUAGCGAAGGCAGCUUACUAGGCUGUAACUGACGCUGAGGCACGAAAGUGUGGGAUCAAACAGG
rnacentral:rRNA from 1 species